CAUUAAAUAGCUGCAAGCGGAACUUUGGCGCUCUCUCGGCCUUAGCGCCAUCUUCUCGGAAACCUCUGCGCCAUGAGAGCCAAGUGGAGGAAGAAGCGAAUGCGCAGGCUGAAGCGCAAAAGAAGAAAGAUGAGGCAGAGGUCCAAGUAAACUAGCUUGUGCACCGUGGAGGCCAAAGGAGUGCCAGGGGCCGGGGACGUUGGUACAAGUUGGGCUGCCUCCUACUGUCCACAUUUUGUCUCGGUGGAUUUAAGAACUUACAUCGCCACCUCGUCGUCAAGAUCACCACUGAGAGAAGACCCACCUUGCUUUUAACAUCCCCUGUUGGUCCUUUGCCCGGGACCUUUGGCAUUCUGGACUAACUCGUUUCUCAGUUGUGGCCAGUGUAACGCGUGUACAAUAAAUCAUCCCUUCUGUUUUAGCUGAAGAAUUCAAA